GGAUAGCUCAGUCGGUAAGAACACACGACUCUUAAUUUUGGAGUCGUGGGUUCAAGCCCCAUGUUGGGCA